CUACGGGAGGCUCCAGUGAGGAAUAUUGCACAAUGGAGGAAACUCUGAUGCAGCAACGCCGCGUGGAGGAUGACGCAUUUCGGUGUGUAAACUCCUUUUAUAUGUCAAGAAAAUGACAGUAGCAUAUGAAUAAGCACCGGCUAACUCCGUGCCAGCAGCCGCGGUAAUACGGAGGGUGCAAGCGUUACUCGGAAUCACUGGGCGUAAAGGACGCGUAGGCGGGAUAUCAAGUCAGGUGUGAAAUCCUACAGCUUAACUGUAGAACUGCACUUGAAACUGGUAACCUAGAGUAUGGGAGGGGGAGAUGGAAUUAGUGGUGUAGGGGUAAAAUCCGUAGAUAUCACUAGGAAUACCUAAAGCGAAGGCGAUCUCCUGGAACAUAACUGACGCUAAGGCGUGAAAGCGUGGGGAGCAAACAGGAUUAGAUACCCGAGUAGUC
rnacentral:rRNA from 1 species